rfam:Picea glauca, whole genome shotgun sequence.
AUGUGCGAUCAUACCGGCAUUAGUGCACUGGAUCCUGUCAAAACUCUGUAGUUAAGCACGCUUGGUCUAGAGUUGUACUGGGAUGGGUGACCUCCCGAGAAGUCCUAGUGUUGCACCCU